rnacentral:rRNA from 1 species
UACGUAGGGACCGAGCGUUGUCCGGAUUCAUUGGGCGUAAAGAGCUCGUAGGCGGCCACUCAAGUCGAAUGUGAAACCUCGAGGCUUAACCUCGAGCCUGCAUUUGAUACUGGGCGGCUAGAGUCUGGUAGGGGGAUCUGGAAUUCCUGGUGUAGCGGUGGAAUGCGCAGAUAUCGGGAAGAACACCCGUGGCGAAGGCGGUUCUCUGGGACGGUACUGACGCUGAGGAGCGAAAGCGUGGGGAGCGAACAGG